UGCUCAGCUGUAACCCUCAAGACACCACCACACACGCACCUCCGCCCGAGUACUACAAGCGAAAGCUAGAAACUCAAAGGACUUGACGGUGUCCUAACACCCUAGAGGAGCCUGUCCUUUAAUCGAUACCCCACGCUAUACCUUACCCCCCUUAGCCCCCAGCCUAUAUACCGCCGUCGUAAAGCCUACCUUGUGAAAGAGCCCACGUAAACCAAACAGCCCCUCCCGCUCGUACGUCAGGUCAAGGUGUAGCUCAUAGGGGGGCAAGCGAUGGGCUACACUCCUUAACUUAAGCGCCCGUAAGCAGCAUGAAAACCCCCCAAAGAUGGAUUUAGCAGUAAAAUCAACAAGCAGUGUUGACUUGAAGUGUGCCCUAGGACGCGUACAC
rnacentral:rRNA from 1 species